ACCUCUGAACAUAGCUCAGUUGGUUAGAGCAUGGGGCUGACCAUUCCAAGAUUGCAGGUUCAAUCCCUGUAUGGGGUU